GUCUCUUGCUCCAGCCAGAGCUCGAGGUUAGCUCUUCACUGCCCUGUGUCUUCUUUCCAAGGGUCUCGGUGAUUCGGCCACAGCCUCAGCCUCCAUCACGCGGUGAACUGAUGGUGCUGGAAGAUUCAUAGACUCCAGGACAUUCCUGAAGCCGAGAAAAGGUUAAGUAGGGUCUGGCCUGGAAUACUCUCCUAGAUGAAGAUAGCCCAACCAUGAGCCACCUUCGAAGCAGAUGAGAUGAAAUUAAAGCUCUUCAACUCCUAAAGGCCCAGAGACUAUCACAAAAGAGGUCAGAAAUCCUGAAGGUCACUUUCUGACAAACUCAGGAACCCCAGGUUUAUCUUGGAGCCUCAAGAGGAGAUAAAUUCACCCAACUCAGGCUGGAGUGCAGUGGAAUGAUCUUGGCUCACUUCCGUCUCCGCCUUCCAGUUUCAAGUGAUUCUCCUGCCUCAGCCUACUGAGUAGUUGGGAUUACAGGUGCCUGCCACCACACCCAGCUAAUUUUUGUAUUUUUAGUAAAGAUGGGGUUUCACCAUGUUGGCCAGGCUGGUCUCAAACUCCUGACGUCAUGAUCUGCCCGCUUCAGUCUCCCAAAGUGUGAUUACAGAGUGAGGCUGGCUGGGGGAGCCUGGGCUCCUCUGUCCUCCCCGAGGUGGCAGUGGCUGAUGUCUGCUCAGGUGUGAGGGGGUGCUGCCAUCCUCUGGGCCUGAGGCUGCCUGGCCCAGCCCCUCCUAACUCCCUGGACUCUUCCACGGUGUCUUCAGGCCCCUACACCAUCCUUUGUGUAAGGGGAGGUGGCAGCAUAGAGAUGAUGGGGGAACUGCCCCAUGUGCCAAGGAAAGCUCACCCAUCUGUG
rnacentral:lncRNA from 10 species